rnacentral:lncRNA from 1 species
GCUCUGAUACAAUAUAAAUUGUCAUAAUCUUGAUCCGAGAUUUUAUGAGCUAAGGAUCAUGACAACCACCGCAUACUCAUAUAAAACUUUCUCCACAAGUAUACAAGAUAUUCUAAAUAUGAUAUCAAUGCAUUAUGGUAGAAUUAAUAAUAAAUUAAGUUCAAACUUUAACUAACUAAAAUCAACUUUAAUCUCUUACAAAAUUUCAACAAUAUUAAAAAAUUUUCACAUUAAUUAAAUCUCAAAUAAUAAUCCUAUAAAAUACAAUAAUAAAUUUAUAUCUAAACUCAAUUGACUCUAUCGACUCUUCCCCCU